UUCAACUGAGAGAAUAUAAAUAAAUUGGUGUGAGCUAUAAAACUCAAUGAGUAAUCAUACAUAAUUUUAUCAGAUCAAGGAUAAUAUUUUUUAUACUAGUGCAUUAUUUUAAGAAACUAAUGGCGGUAACAAAGUAAGCACUUCAUACAACAUAUAAUCAAACCAAACGUAAAAACUUUUGUCUUUAUUCCAUGCUUUGAAAUCUGUGCUUGUAAUAAAGUAAACAUUUCAUAUAAUCCAACCAGUCAUAAAACUAUGCAAGUCCAUUAAUGCAACUUUAUAAAUAUGAUAAUACAUUAUAAAACUUUUGCCAUAAUCAAACUAGUUAUAAAACUGUGCAUGUCCAUUCAUGCAACUUCAUAAAUAUGAUUAUGCAUCAUAAAAGUUUUGCCAUUAUUCCAUACUUUAAAAUUCAUACUCUCAUAUGGUAGUAUAGCUAUGGCUGCUCUUAUUCCCACGGUUACCACUGCAGGGUCAUCUUCCAAUUACUAUUACCCACUGGCGGAGGCCGUAAAGCCAAGUUACUUUUACCCACUAGCGGGAGUCGUAUGCCUAGUUACUGUUAUCCACUGGCGGGGGUCGUGCAUAGCAAUCUGAGAGUUCUUAAAACAUAUCAUUUUUUUCAUAAAUCUUUUCUCAUAGAUACAUUGGAAAGCGAAUAAUGGCAUCAUGCUAAAUAAAACUCAUGAUCAUGCUGAAAACUUUAUUUUUCUAUGCAUCUUUCUAUAUCAUCAUAAUUAUAUGUAUAUAAUAUAAUAAUAAUCAUAAUCCAAAAUCAUGUAAUCAUUUGCUAACACAUGCUUAAUCCUAAUUUUGUGAAAACAUAAAUAAUCAUAUAUAAUUUCAUAAUCGAGUAGUCACAAGUAUUUGAUUAAAUAUAAGAUUAUAUCAGGAUUACUUUUUCCACAAUUCAUAUACACAAUUCCAAUUGCAUAAAUAAUACUUUUUCAUCUUAUAAAACAUGAUACAUGAUUCAUAAUAAGAUUAAGACAUGUUACUUACCUUAAUUUGCUCACCAAAUGCCAAUUCUCCAAUACUUAGCAAGAUCAUUAAAUUACAUGUCACUUACAUAUUUAAUUUCUAUUUAUUUAUAAUCUUAAAGUCAUUUACAGCCCAUCCAUAGGACUCAAUUUUAUUUUCGGGUCCAUAGCCUAAUUCAAUUUCUGGUUCAGGCCCAUGGCCCAAUUCAAUUUCUGGUUCUGGUCUAAUCUACUUCCUGGUUCGGAUUUGAUUCCAUUUCUGGUUCAGGUUUGGGUCAAUUGCAUACUGGUUCAGAUCUGACCCAAUUUGUGGUUCAGAUCUGGGUUAAUUGCAUUCUGGUUCAAAUCUGACCUAAUUUUGGUUCAGGUCUGGGUCAAUUGCAUUUUGGUUCAGAUCAGACCCAAUUUCUGGUUCAGGCCUGGAUUAAUUGUAUAUUGGUUCAGUUAAUUCUGAGUUUAAGAAUGUUGGGCUCGAACCAGGGCCUAGCCCGGCCUCGGGCUUCUAAAGCCAAUUUAUUUAAAGCCCACCCCGAAAUCAGGCCCAAAUCGGCCCACAACCUUUUUUUUCUCUUUUCUUUUCCUUCUUUCUUCCUGAACCUUUCUUUCUCUUUUUUUUCCGUUUCUUCCUCUCUACUCCUUCUUUCUUCUUUCCGUUCCGAUCUCCUCCCCCACCGCUUCUCCUCCUCACUUGAAGCGAGGAGGCUCGUGGAGCGCUCGGGAGGAGCUGGGUCCGAGGUCGGCGGUGCCGGCGGCCGGCCAACAUCGCACGCUGCUCGAUCUGUAGCGGCCGAUCCCCCCGUCUUCUUCAUCCUUCCUCUCUUGAGAAGGGAGGAGAGCGGCUCCCACUCACGGAAGAGGUCGGGUGCGACCAGCGGCACCCGCGGCGGCCGGCCCCCUCUGUUCCUUGGUGGAAAUGGGGGUCGAGACCACCCUCUCGAGAGGAAGGGGCCUCUGGCCCGCCGUAGUUUCGAGCGAGGGCCACUGGAGCCUGCAAUUGGAGCCGGCGGCUCCUCCCUCGUGCCCAUUGGGGUACAGGAAAUAACCCACGGUCGUGGCCAUGGAUGCGGCCACGACUACAGCCGAGCUUGCUGCGACCAAAGGAGGGGAGGAAGGGCCUCCGGCCGUCGACGGCUGCGGCUAGGCAUACCAAAUCUACUUGCAUAAUACCAUGGAAGAAGAAGUCAGGGACUCACCUAGCUCCGGGACAACUCUGUGAUGUUCCCUCCGGCGGCUCAGAUCCCCACUCUUCAGUUCCUUGUAGCAAAAAAAAAAAAAAGAGAGUGAGAAGAAAUGAGAGAGUGAUGGAGUUCCUUUGCAAGGGAUCCGUGGGCUUUAAUAACCCUCGGCCGAAAGAGAAGAGGGGUGGUGAUCAUGGCUGUUAGGCGGUUAUAACCGCCUCAACAGCUGGCGAUCAUGGUCACUAAUUUGGGUUUCCAAAUGGACCGCCGAUUAUGGCGAGGUCGGUCCAUUUGGCCGACAUUUACAGUACUCAAUGUGCAAACGUGCACAAAGUCUGCAUAGCUUUACUAGAAUAUGGCAAGCCCUAUCCACAUUAUUGAUAUCAGUUCAAAAUUUCGUAGCA